AUCAAGAAGUGGAAGAGACUCGAGAGAAACACAUUGUCGGAGAUUUAAGAUUGGCCUGCUACAUUCCUCCACUAAACGUCUUUACCCUGUAAAGUUGGACAUGUUAUUCAGAAAGUACCUGAAAAUAUUGUAGCCAAGUACAUAUAUGUAUAGACUAAGAUAUCUUACAAUUUAAUCCCUAAUCUUUACACUGUAGAUGUAAAACUGGCUAUUUGAUUUACUCAAAGUUGUAUUUUGGUGUGGUUUGUUUGUAUGGCACUCACUGUUAUAAAAGCAAAAUUGGCUAAAGCAAGGUGAAAGUCUAUUUGGGGAAGACAUGUAGCUAGUACCUCACAUUGGAAUUUUCCCUUGGGUGUAGGUGUUGUGCUGUGUAGGGACCGUAUUGUUGGUUUCGAUAUAACAUUGAACACCUACAGGUCUUUCAUGUCCUGAGGUGCACACCCUCUAAUUGUUAAUUUGACUCAUUCAUCUAAUGUACUAUACUCUAACAAAACCUUUGAGCUGAUAGACAUACAGUUUAACCCGUUAGUACAUUCUUCAUAAGUCCUUUAGUCUAAAAUCCAGACAGAAUUAAGGGAACUAAACUAAGGGAGCUGACAUGACAGAUGUAGUAGGAAGAGUCUGGGGGUGGGUGCGUCCAGCUGUCUCCUACCGGCCCUGGGGCAGCAAAGUAGCACCUGACAAAACCAUGAAAGACGAGAGGCAGACAAGAGGCAGCUGGGGCUUGGGAGGGUUAACAACAUGGUUUUGGGGAACCGGACAGAAAAAGCAAGCAAGUGACCAAACAACAUUGAUUGACGAGUACUGGGAAGCAAGUGAGGAGAAAAUCCAGUCCCUGGAAAUUGAAGAUAUGGGCGAGGGCAAGCAGGUGGCUGAGGGGAAAGCAGAACAUGGUGGCUCCAGAUGGUGGACUAAGGUUCUGCCGUCCCGCAACUUCUUCUGGCCAAGAGCAGCUGAACCUGGUGGGCUCAAGCAGAGGAAAUGUAUCGGUGGAGGAUGGGACUCUGACAACGAUGGGGAGUAUUCUGACUAUGGAACUCCUCCACCUUCUCCCACACCUAGCUCCUCAUCAGCCUUCCGGUUCUUUGCACGUGCCUGGAAUGGGGAGAUAGUUCCGGAACACUAUGAGAUCUGCUUCAACCUCCUUCGCCACCUGUUUGACCUGCUCGUGGUGGGCUUCCUGUGGACUGUGUCCCCCCCUACCAAGUUGGUCCUGGAGAUGCUAGGGGUCCAAGGAGGACUGAAGUUGUGGCUCCAUGGAAUGGCAAUGUUUUUUGUCUCCACUGUUGGAAUGGCAGGACUGCUCUGGUUGGUCCAGGAGUAUCUUCCACAUUUUGCUCUGGUGUACGGCAUCGUGCAAGCACUAGUCAUCUCUGUCAGCGUCCGGCAGUGUGUGAUCUUAGGAGAGGGCGCUGAGGUGGAGGAAGAGAAAGGAGAAAAGGAGGUGGAAGAUGAGGAGGAAGAGGAGGAAGUGGGAGACGAUGGGGAAGUUACAGAAAUGUACAUGACUACAAAAUAAUACAUCAAAGGAAAGAUGAUCCCUGAAAGAAAGUUUGUUUUUGAAAUCCUUUGACAUGGAGGAAAGUUGGAGGGAAGAGGGAU
rnacentral:lncRNA from 13 species